rnacentral:misc_RNA from 1 species
AGCAGCCGCGGUAAUUCCAGCUCCAAUAGCGUAUAUUAAAGUUGUUGCAGUUAAAAAGCUCGUAGUUGAAUUUCGGGGUUAGUAGGUUGGUCAUGCCUCUGGUAUGUACUGGUCUCACUGAUUCCUCCUUCCUGAUGAACCUUAAUGCCAUUAGUUUGGUGUUUUGGGGAAUUUGGACUGUUACUUUGAAAAAAUUAGAGUGUUUAAAGCAGGCAUUUUUGCUUGAAUACAUUAGCAUGGAAUAAUAAAAUAGGACGGCAUGGUUCUAUUUUGUUGGUUUCUAGGACCACCGUAAUGAUUAAUAGGGAUAGUUGGGGGCAUUAGUAUUCAAUUGUCAGAGGUGAAAUUCUUGGAUUUAUUGAAGACUAACUACUGCGAAAGCAUUUGCCAAGGAUGUUUUCAUUAAUCAAGAACGAAAGUUAGGGGAUCGAAGACGAUCAGAUACCGUCGUAGUCUUAACCAUAAACUAUGC